rnacentral:rRNA from 1 species
UACGUAGGAGGCGAGCGUUGUCCGGAGUUACUGGGCGUAAAGGGUGCGCAGGCGGCGGUUCGCGUGGAUAGAUGAAAUCUCCUGGCUUACCUGGGAGGAUGGUAUCCAGACGGGAUCGCUUGAGGGUCGGAGAGGGGCGUGGAAUUCCGGGUGGAGCGGUGAAAUGCGUAGAGAUCCGGAGGAACACCGACGGCGUAGGCAGCGCCCUGGACGACACCUGACGCUGAGGCACGGAAAGCUGGGGGAGCGAACAGG